CGCGUAGGCGGCUUGACAAGUUGGAGGUGAAAGCCCGGAGCUCAACUUCGGAAUUGCCUUCAAGACUGUCUCGCUCGAGGCAGGGAGAGGAGAGCGGAAUACCCAGUGUAGAGGUGAAAUUCGUAGAUAUUGGGUGGAACACCGGUGGCGAAGGCGGCUCUCUGGCCCUGAUCUGACGCUAAGGCGCGAAAGCGUGGGGAGCAAACAGGAUUAGAUACCCUGGUAGUCCACGCCGUAAACUAUGAGUGCUAGAUGUUGGGAGGUUUACUUCUCAGUGUCGCAGCUAACGCAUUAAGCACUCCGCCUGGGGAGUACGGCCGCAAGGUUAAA
rnacentral:rRNA from 1 species